UUGUUAAGUCAGAUGUGAAAUCCCCGGGCUCAACCUGGGAACUGCAUCUGAUACUGGCAAGCUUGAGUCUCGUAGAGGGGGGUAGAAUUCCAGGUGUAGCGGUGAAAUGCGUAGAGAUCUGGAGGAAUACCGGUGGCGAAGGCGGCCCCCUGGACGAAGACUGACGCUCAGGUGCGAAAGCGUGGGGAGCAAACAGGAUUAGAUACCCUGGUAGUCCACGCCGUAAACGAUGUCGACUUGGAGGUUGUGCCCUUGAGGCGUGGCUUCCGGAGCUAACGCGUUAAGUCGACCGCCUGGGGAGUACGGCCGCAAGGUUAAAACUCAAAUGAAUUGACGGGGGCCCGCACAAGCGGUGGAGCAUGUGGUUUAAUUCGAU
rnacentral:rRNA from 1 species